rnacentral:rRNA from 1 species
GAUGAACGCUGGCGGCGUGCUUAACACAUGCAAGUCGAACGAAGCAUUUUAAAGGAAGUUUUCGGAUGGAAUUUAAAAUGACUUAGUGGCGGACGGGUGAGUAACGCGUGGGUAACCUGCCUCAUACAGGGGGAUAACAGUUGGAAACGACUGCUAAGACCGCAUAAGCCUACAGUCUCGCAUGAGACAGUAGGAAAAGAUUUAUCGGUAUGAGAUGGACCCGCGUCUGAUUAGCUAGUUGGUGAGGUAAUGGCUCACCAAGGCGACGAUCAGUAGCCGACUUGAGAGAGUGAUCGGCCACAUUGGGACUGAGACACGGCCCAAAA